GGAGGGUCCAGCUCAGUGGCAGAGCAUGUGCUUAGUGUGCACAAGGUCCUGGGUUCUACCCCCCGUCCCUCCA
rnacentral:tRNA from 1 species